rnacentral:lncRNA from 1 species
UAGUACUGUGUGUGUGUGAGCGCAUCGACAGUGAAUACAAUCUAUCUUAAUCGCUACUUGAGUCUCAGCAUUAUUCCUCCGUGCUACAAUAUACUGGACCUAAUAGAUGUAAGUAAAAAGUUUCAUUCUUUUUUAAACUUUUUUGUUUAUGAAUAUUUGUUUAUAACUUUUACAGAAAUGGAUAGCCCUCCCUAAGAGCUAUCCAUUUCUGCAAAAUUUAUUAAUUUCGGGCUUAUAAUUUCCCCGAUAAUAAAUAUUAUAGUUUCAUAUAGGACUGGGAGGAGGAGAUUACACACUACCCGUUAAACCGCACCGAUCUGCCCUAAAAAUGGCUAACCAGUUUACCAUUCGAUUAAUUACUUUUUAAGCAAUUAUUUUGCAAAAAUGGAUAGAGAUUAUCAAGAGCUAUCCAUUUCAUCAAUUUUUUUUUAUUAUGAAUUAAUGGUUCUCCCGACUAUGAUUUUUAUUGGGGCAAGAAAUUCCCUGCGAUCCGUCAAACCACACCAACCUACAAAUAAAAAUAGCCAAUCGGUUUACUACUCAAGUAGAUCCUUUUAAAGCGAUAAUUUAACAGAAAUGGAUAUCUCUUGAUGAGGGCCAUCCAUUUCUGUAAAAUUUGUUUAUAACAUAUUUAUAUUUUUACGGAUAACGUUGAGUUAUUAAUACUUAUUAUACGUAGUAUAGAGGAAGUGACUGACGCGUACCCCCUACUGUUUUAAGAACGCACCAUACUAUUUUAAGAGAGAAAUUGCGGCUGGCGGCCAUGUUUAUCUCGAAACAUGGCUUCCAGCCGCAAAAGCUAAUCUUAAAACACCAAGGUGCGUUCGUAAAACAAUGGGGGUACGCGUCAGUCACUUGCUCUAUAUAGCGGCAGCGUCAUAGAACCCUGGUUCGUUCACGACAGGGGGGGAAUCGUCUGUCUUUGUGCUAAAAUUCGGAAAUAGCAGUCAGAGCCUCCAGCGGGUGUGUAAUGCACUACAUCGAAUGCACCAAUAAGGAAAUGUGUUUGAAAACUUAAACAGCCAAUUGCAGCAGUGAUAAGGAAACGAAUGAAGCAGACGACACUUGAAAAAUUGGAGAAUUUGUUGCAGUUUGAAAACAACCAACACCAGAUCAGUGCACCUAAUACAUAAAAAAAAAGAAAAAACAAUUCGAAUUCCUUAAAGAGUACGAAACAGUAAAUAAGUAUUAAGCGAGUUUUGACAUUUUAGCAUUUUUUCAUACAGCGAUUUGUUGGUUGAAAACCCAUCGCAGAUGCACGCUUUCACGAUAGCCCCAGCAUUGAAAAGACGUACAAUACUUUUCGUAACGAGUUCUAGUAAUACUACACCGGGAGCACCACCUUUAGUGCCAAACCACGCAAAUGGCUGGAUCCAACCUUGCAGAAAUGGCCUGAAGACGAACAUCAAUACGUGAUCAGCAAGUCCAUUUGGAACCAUGAUGGUAGUCUCCCCGGCAUAGUCGACGAUGCCUUUCCACUUAAGACUUCUAGUAUCGAAUCUCAUGUCUUUGGUUAUAGAAAUUUCAUCCCACAUCAGUGUGCCCCAGCGUUCGAAUGGUUGCAAUCCUUUCGAUGCCUCCAAUAUAUGCUCUAACGCAAGUGAAUUGAA